AUUAAAAUUUGAAGCAUUUUAUAUACAUAGACGCUCGAGUAUUCAAUGAAUGGAGAAAGAGUCGCACUCAAAAAUCAAUGAGUACUUCUCUCCCCAUAUAAAGAGGCCUCCCGGCAGUCGUUAGGGUUGUGCUAAUAUUUCUCAACAGCUUCCCUUAUCCCAUGCAGUCAACCAUUAGGGUUUCUGAAGCUUCAUAUAGAGAAAGAUCCCGCUGACAUGAAUGUCUUAGGUAGCCACAGGCCGGGCCGGGGAAAGAUCUGAAACUCGAGAUGAUUAAAGUCAGUUUUGGAUCUCUCCUCUUCCUCGGUAGUCACCGUUGUUUGAAGGCAAAGUUGAAGGAAUCGCGUAUUUUUCCGUCAUUUGCGUGAUAUUCUGUUGAGCUAACGGGACACCAGAAGUGUGGUCUCGGAGAUUGAGGUUGAUGGGAAUGUUGUUUGGCUCGAGAUCAUCCAUGCCCCGGACGAAAGCCAUUGAUCAAAGCCAUGUGUGUAUAUAUAGCAUGGAUAGUGAGGGGAGCCUUUGUAUGAUCUCGGACCAGGCUUCAUUCCCGUCAGCCCAACAAUUCUCUCCGCCUGUAUGCGUGAAUCUCGUGUCAAGUUCGCCUACAUUUCGCAAUAUACAUGUGCUUCUGAAGCCUUAAACAGAUAAGAGGCUUGAUCUCUGCCCCGAUCUGAAUUCACCCCGUGUCAUCGACUUGCCAAUUUUCUUCUCUCCUUGUGAACGAAAAAAGAAAUUGGAAGAAGGCAAUUCUGUCCGAAGAUAUAUCGUAUAUGCGAGGCGGACGGUGAAAGUUACGUGUCGGUGUCUUAUAAUUCUCGGUAAGUCUGAAAGUCAGAAAAAAACUCCUUAAUUAUCUUUUAUAAUUUAUUUACAUUUCCCCAUGUUCUAUUCAUUUUCAAGGUCGAUCUCUAAUUUUUCAUCCUAUCAAUAUCGUCAUGCUGUUGUAUAUGAGUGCCAUGCAGCGAAGACAGAAUGGUUCAGUACAGCACCAGAUUCAGCGACACAUUUUGGCAAGUUUUAGCUAAGUUUUGCGUUAUUUUUCUAUAUUACCGUUAAGGUUAUAACUAAGCACGACACAGUUGCUGCUGAAUUGUUCAGCAAAGUAAACUGGACAACAAAAACCGGCGAGGCGAGUUAUGGAUGAAGGGUUACUUUCCAUCCUCUUUUCAUCCAAUUCGAAUUUGCUAGCCAUUUUUGCAGCAAAUUCUCUGCCGCUGAAGUUAAAAGGUGCAAUUAUGUACCAUAUAUACCGAGCCGUAGCUGGAACUGUGAGCUCAGAGAACAGCUUGGCAUACGGUGCCUUAUAGUUCCUGGAAAGAUCAUGCUCUCCACCAUCAGCAAAGGAUCUGUACGUUGUAAUUUCUAGUCGUUAUUUUUUAUUGUGUAAUUUGAAAUGAAUGCUCACAAUAAUCCUUAGGUUUUAUGUUGUCGUGCUUGGCGUGAUCCACGUAGCAGUCUACUCAUGUAUGCAUAUGUAUUUCUUUAGCAAUCUUAGCCCAAGGAGCUCGAGCAUCUUCUGUAUGGCGCAGUAUCGAUAUUAUAGUUGUGGCAGACUAGUUGAGGCUGUAA